CAGAGGGCGCGAGCGUUGUCCGGAAUCACUGGGCGUAAAGGGCGCGUAGGUGGCGGGAUAAGGCUGUGGUGAAAGUUCGGGGCUCAACCCUGAAUCGGCCGUGGCAACUGUCUCGCUAGGGCACCGUAGAGGCAGAUGGAAUUCCGGGUGUAGCGGUGGAAUGCGUAGAGAUCCGGAAGAACACCAGUGGCGAAGGCGGUCUGCUGGGCGGUGGGUCCGUAAGGAUCCAAUAGCCGACACUGAGGCGCGACAGCGUGGGGAGCAAACAGGAUUAGAUACCCUGGUAGUCCACGCCGUAAACGAUGGGCACUAGGUGCUUUGGGGAGCGACCCCCAGGGUACCGGCGCUAACGCAUGAAGUGCCCCGCCUGGGGAGUACGGCCGCAAGGCUG
rnacentral:rRNA from 1 species